UGUCCCCUGGCAAUGAGCAAAGAGACACCUCAUUGGUGGUGUUGCUCUUAUAUCAGUCAGGGGCAGAGCAGAUGGACAGUCCUUUGUUUAGCCUAGCUUGUUGCCUGGAUUGGCAGCCAGAGAUGUUUCAUGCCUGGUGCACACCA
rnacentral:snoRNA from 1 species